rnacentral:rRNA from 1 species
UACGGAGGGUGCAAGCAUUAAUCGGAAUUAUUGGGCGUAAAGGGCGCGUAGGCGGAUUUGUAAGUCAGAUGUGAAAUUCCGAAGCUCAACUUCGGAGCUGCAUUUGAAACUGUAAGUCUAGAGGGAUGACGGAGAAAAUGGAAUUCCACGUGUAGCGGUGAAAUGCGUAGAUAUGUGGAAGAACACCUGUGGCGAAAGCGAUUUUCUAGUUAUUACCUGACGCUGAGGCGCGAGAGCAAGGGGAGCAAACAGG